UAACCCUUUCAUUGAUAUAAAGGUUGUUUGAUGUUUCUAGCCCUUGUUCUGCUCUUACUACAUGAUGCGCCUGUUCCUCCUUCACCUUCCACCAUGAUUAGAAGCUUCCCAAAGCCCUCACCAGCAGCAGAUGCCAGCACCAUGCAUCUUGUAUAGCCUGCAGAACCAUGAACCAAAAUAAACCACUUUUUGUCUCACGCGUUCGUGUGAAGAGACCACCAA
rnacentral:lncRNA from 10 species